AUUGAACGCUGGCGGCAGGCCUAACACAUGCAAGUCGAGCGAGCGGCGGACGGGGGAGGAAUGUCUGGGGACUGCCCGAUAGAGGGGGAUAACUACUGGAAACGGUAGCUAAUACCGCAUACUAUCGGAUAACCCAUACGGGUUUAGAUAGUAGGUGAGGUAAUGGCUCACCUAGGCGACGAUCCCUAGCUGGUCUGAGAGGAUGAACAGCCACAAUGGGGUUGUGACACGGCCUAAACUCCAACGGAGGCAGCAGUGGGGGAGAUUGCAAAAUGGGCGCAAUCCUGAUGCAGCCAUGCCGAGUGUAUGAAGAAGGCCCUAGGGUUGUAAAGUCCUUUCAGUCGGGAGGCGUUCCCGAAAGAAGAGGCACCGGCUAACUCCGUGCCAGCAGCCGCGGUAAUAC
rnacentral:rRNA from 1 species